rnacentral:rRNA from 1 species
UGCCAGACUCCUACGGGAGGCAGCAGUGGGGGAUAUUGCACAAUGGGGGAAGCCCUGAUGCAGCGACGCCGCGUGGGCGAAGAAGUAUUUCGGUAUGUAAAGCCCUAUCAGCAGGGAAGAAGAAAUGACGGUACCUGAGUAAGAAGCACCGGCUAAAUACGUGCCAGCAGCCGCGGUAAUACGUAUGGUGCAAGCGUUAUCCGGAUUUACUGGGUGUAAAGGGAGCGCAGGCGGCACGGCAAGCCUGAUGUGAAAGCCCGCGGCCCAACCGCGGGACUGCAUUGGGAACUACCGGGCUGGAGUGCCGGAGAGGUAGGCGGAAUUCCUGGUGUAGCGGUGAAAUGCGUAGAUAUCAGGAGGAACACCGGUGGCGAAGGCGGCCUGCUGGACUGCGACUGACGUUGAGGCCCGAAAGCGUGGGGAGCAAACAGGAUUAGAUACCCUCGUAC